rnacentral:rRNA from 1 species
GAUGAACGCUAGCGGCAGGCUUAAUACAUGCAAGUCGAGGGGCAGCAUGUCCCGACGCAAGUCGGGAUGAUGGCGACCGGCAAACGGGUGCGGAACACGUACAGAACCUUCCUUCGAGCGGGGAAUAGCCCAGAGAAAUUUGGAUUAACACCCCAUAGUAUUACGGAGUGGCAUCACUUUGUAAUUAAAGAUUUAUCACUUGAAGAUGGCUGUGCGGCUUAUUAGGUAGUUGGCGGGGUAACGGCCCACCAAGCCUGCGAUCAGUAACUGGUGUGAGAGCACGACCAGUCACACGGGCACUGAGACACGGGCCCGACUCCUACGGGAGGCAGCAGUAAGGAAUAUUGGGCAAUGGACGAAAGUCUGAACCAGCCAUGCCGCGUGGAGGAUGAAGGUCCUCUGGAUUGUAAACUUCUUUUAUAUGGGACGAAAAAAGGCUUUUCUAAGUCGUCUGACGGUACCAUAUGAAUAAGCACCGGCUAACUCCGUGCCAGCAGCCGCAGUAAAAC